UACGGAGGGUGCAAGCGUUAUCCGGAUUUACUGGGUUUAAAGGGUGUGUAGGCGGGCUUUUAAGUCAGUGGUGAAACCUCCGGGCUCAACCCGGAAACUGCCAUUGAUACUAUUAGUCUUGAAUUUUGUUGAGGUAGGCGGAAUAAGCCAUGUAGCGGUGAAAUGCUUAGAUAUGACUUAGAACACCAAUUGCGAAGGCAGCUUGCUAAACAAACAUUGACGCUGAGGCACGAAAGCGUGGGGAUCAAACAGG
rnacentral:rRNA from 1 species